rnacentral:rRNA from 1 species
AACGGCGAGUGAAGCGGGAAGAGCUCAAAUUUGAAAUCUUCAAGGUUUUACCUUGACGAAUUGUAGUUUAAAGAAGUGUUUUCUGUUGAAGUUUUGGUAAAAGUUCUUUGGAAUAGGACAUCAUAGAGGGUGAGAAUCCCGUAUUUGACCAUUAUUUUCAGCUGUGUGAUACACUUUCAAAGAGUCGGAUUGUUUGGGAAUGCAGUCCAAAAUGGGUGGUAAAUUUCAUCUAAAGCUAAAUAUUGGCGAGAGACCGAUAGCGAACAAGUACCGUGAGGGAAAGAUGAAAAGAACUUUGAAAAGAGAGUUAAACAGUACGUGAAAUUGUCAAAAGGGAAGCGUUUGACACCAGUGUUGUUUUCUCGAAAAUCAAUUAAAAAAAGUUGGAUUUUGUGUUGUAUUGACCUUAACAGCUUUCUUCACUCUUUUCCUGCUUUUUUUAAUGCACUUUUCGUUUAACAAGUCAACAUCAGUUUCUUUUGUUGUAAAAGGGUCAUUGGAAGGUGGCUUUCUUUUCGGAGAAAGUGUUUAUAGCCUUUGAUCUCUGCAAUCGGAGAGACUGAGGUCUGCAGCGUAGAUCCUUCGGGGUUAGAUACAUUUGUGCUAAGUUAUAACUUUUCAUAGACAACUUGUUGACUAUGUUUAGUCAUGUAGCUUACUCGCUUAUGCUAUUUUACCUAC